UUUUUUAUUAAAGAGGUAAAUUUGGUCAUCAUAUGUCCUUGCCCACAACUAAACUAACUAAAACAUGAAUUUCGUUUUCAACGCGCAUAUGGAUUCAACAGAUCUGUGCGUCAUACGUCCUUGCAAAAUGUUAACCAUUUUCAUCGACAACUGGUUUUAGCGGGUCUCUGCUGAAUGGAAAGUAAAUCCUUGCAUGCAGACAAAUCCGAAAUCAAAAGAGGUAAGAAAUCGCUUCGGUCGGCGGCUGAGGAAACGCCUCUGUCACCCAGCUGAGGAACCGAGAAAGAAAGAAGGAGAUAGAGAGUCUCCGCUGGAUCCGCCCCCUGCCGCUUCAUAUUCAGCUCCUCACGGGCCACAAGCAUCGCUCUGCGUGGGCUGAGCUAAAUAUCUCCGUAUAUGCACAAUAAAGACAUGUUUUUUUCUUAGGUUUCUUAUCCUUUCCCUCUUUUUUUGCAGGAAAAAGAUGCACGGCCAGGUUUCUCAUGAUGAUAACCAUGUUUUCAAACUAGGCCUGUUCAUGUCACACAAAUAUUUCCUUUUUCCAAACCCAUUGCUAAAAAAAUACAAUCAUGCCAACUUUACUCUCUCAUCAUAGUGGCCAUAUUUUCAAACUGAACAUAUUCAUAUUAUGCAAAGUUUCCCCUUUUUCAGACUAUUAUUUAACAACAUAAUAAACAUGUUUAAAAAAUAACAUGAUUUAGUUGAAGGUUCUUGCAACAUGAAAUUAUUUUCAUCGACAACAUGUCUUCAGCAGGUCUCUGCGCCAUUUGACGCAACGGGUCAACUAGUUGAAGAUAAGGCAAAGAGAUGACCCAUUGUAGACAUGUUUUUUUGUCAUAUCUAAAUUACAUGCAAGACUUAAGAUAAAACUAUCUUAUCAACCAUUGUACAUGCCCUUCCAUAUCCACAGAUUUUAACAGCCGAGAGCGAUAGUCUAGGUUCUUAGACUUAGAACACUCACCAAUUCCACCCAGAUCAACAGCAGGUGUACACACAUCAUCUCCUAUCUCUAGUACAGUAGCUUUGUCAGGACUCUUAUUCACAUAAUCCAGAAUAAAAAUUUCAUGAACAACAUCAGAGAGAGCAGCAAUAUGGUAAUUAGAGCCAACAUAGACCUCCCUAGCAUUAUUAUCAGCAAUUGAUUGGUCAAUAAGAUUCGCUUUGUCUAACUCAUCAAUAGCAUGCUCCCCUUCUAUAAGUUUCUUCUCCUUCAUCAUUGUCCGCAUCCAGCGGACCAAAAGCACCCACUUAUUCAAACCCUUCAAAGGAACAGUUUCUUCUUCAUCUCAACAAGUCUUUCAAAAGGAAUUGCAAGUUACAAUCUGGCGCGAAAAAGUAGGAACUGCCUCUAAUGAUUUCGAGAAACAGGAUAAUACUGGGUUUCACCAAGUAAAAGAGGUAGCAUCAUCUUUCUUCCGAACCGGAAUGAACCACAUCGCACACAAAACCACAGGUGAAGAAAGUUGUUACAAGGAUCUGCUGCUCCAAACUUACAUUACAUGGUCUAACGACACAGAUCGCAUCCAUAUAUAUUUCGCUAUGUACAGUACAAACUUCACAUACACAUUAGCAAAGUGGCCAAUUAAAAAACAAGCGGGUGAAGAAAGAACGCGGCAAACUGAAGGAGCAUGCAGCAACUAGUGUACAGUCCGGCCGCUCCGCCACCGCCACGGGCACGCGGUAAACUGGCCGGCGGGAAACCUGGUCGAUCUCGUCUCACUUGGGCCCCCAGAGCAGCAGGUGCAUCACCUUGGCCGUCUUGCCGUUGCCGUGGCCGACGCCGUCCUCCGCGCGCCGCCCCAGCUCCCUCCCCGCCGCCGCGCCGGCACGGGGCAGGUGCUGCCUCUGCUCGCCGUCGCGCGCCGGCGCCCAGAUAGCCGGGAGCCGCGCCCACCCGCCCUCGCGCCCGUUGUCGCUCACGUUGUCCAUCCCGCCCGCUCGAUCCUCAGCUGGUCUGUACUCUGUACCCCGCUCUCAGCACGCGCACUCUGAGGUGUGGGCACAGCUUAGCCUCCUCCUGCACAGCCUCGCUCUUAUAAGCAGCAGCACAUGGGCAGCAGCGGCGAGGAAAAAAUAUCGGUUGCUUUGAAUGAAGCUCCGUGUAUGAUUGAGGCGAGCUAGUGGCCAGGAGCAUCCCGAUGAUCGGGCCAGAUUUUUCUGUUCCCUCGGCGGUGCGGCGCGGCGCGGCAUCGGGAUCUUUCCAUGUGGUGUCGCUACGUUAGCUCGGAGGUCAAGCCAUAGCCAUCGGAAUAAAUUCGCGGGUGAGGCAGUAAUCAGUGAGGCCCGCGCGCGUCGCCCUCGCCGGUGCGGCGAAUUUCCACAGGAUGCCCGCAUGUGGGGCACUCCUCCGGUGGUGGCGCUGUGGGCGCGGCUCGCCGUGUGGUCGCGGUCGAUGCGGUGGUGGCGACCGAUCGAAGGGAUCAUUGAUUCGCGUAGGUUGGAGAAAUCGGGUUCAUUCUUAUCGCGACAAAUCCAGAA
rnacentral:lncRNA from 1 species